rnacentral:pre_miRNA from 1 species
UAGGUAGUCGCUCUGGGUUACUGUCGGGUCGUUAUACCCUUUGCAAGUGGCUCAGGGGGACCCCCUAUC